rnacentral:rRNA from 1 species
AUUGAACGCUGGCGGCAGGCUUAACACAUGCAAGUCGAGCGGGGUGAUGGUGCUUGCACUAUCACUUAGCGGCGGACGGGUGAGUAAUGCUUAGGAAUCUGCCUAUUAGUGGGGGACAACAUCUCGAAAGGGAUGCUAAUACCGCAUACGUCCUACGGGAGAAAGCAGGGGAUCACUUGUGACCUUGCGCUAAUAGAUGAGCCUAAGUCGGAUUAGCUAGUUGGUGGGGUAAAGGCCUACCAAGGCGACGAUCUGUAGCGGGUCUGAGAGGAUGAUCCGCCACACUGGGACUGAGACACGACCCAGACUCCUACGGGAGGCAGCAGAGGGGAAUAUUGGACAAUGGGGGGAACGCUGAUCCAGCCAUGCCGCGUGUGUGAAGAAGGCCUUAUGGUUGUAAAGCACUUUAAGCGAGGAGGAGGCUCUUUUGGUUAAUACCCAAGAUGAGUGGACGUUACUCGCAGAAUAAGCACCGGCUAACUCUGUGCCAGCCGCCGCAGUAA